CAGUCGCCGCGGGAAUACGUAGGUGGCAAGCGUUGUCCGGAAUUAUUGGGCGUAAAGGGCUCGCAGGCGGUUUCUUAAGUCUGAUGUGAAAGCCCCCGGCUCAACCGGGGAGGGUCAUUGGAAACCGGGAAACUUGAGUGCAGAGGAGGAGAGUGGAAUUCCACGUGUAGCGGUGAAAUGCGUAGAGAUGUGGAGGAACACCAGUGGCGAAGGCGACUCUCUGGUCUGUAACUGACGCUGAGGAGCGAAAGCGUGGGGAGCGAACAGGAUUAGAUACCCGAGUAGUCCCUGUCUCUUAUAC
rnacentral:rRNA from 1 species